GAUGAACGCUAGCGAUAGGCUUAACACAUGCAAGUCGAGGGGCAGCACAAGGUAGCUUACUAUCUGGGUGGCGACCGGCGCACGGGUGCGUAACGCGUAUGCAACUUGCCCUAUACAGGAGGAUAACCCGUCGAAAGACGGACUAAUACUGCGUAUGCUCACAACUUGGCAUCAAGUGGUGAGGAAAGAAAUUCGGUAUAGGAUAGGCAUGCGUCCCAUUAGCUUGUUGGUGAGGUAACGGCUCACCAAGGCAACGAUGGGUAGGGGAACUGAGAGGUUUAUCCCCCACACUGGUACUGAGACACGGACCAGACUCCUACGGGAGGCAGCAGUGAGGAAUAUUGGUCAAUGGGCGCGAGCCUGAACCAGCCAAGUCGCGUGAAGGAUGACUGUCUUAUGGAUUGUAAACUUCUUUUAUACGGGAAUAACAAGAGUCACGUGUGACUCCCUGCAUGUACCGUAUGAAUAAGCAUCGGCUAACUCCGUG
rnacentral:rRNA from 1 species